UGGUACUCCUUUCGGUCAAGAGGAAAACCCAAGCUAUUCAGGAUUCAUCAAAAUAUUCCUAUGGUUUUUUAACAGGCUGUUUCUCUGGAAAGUGGGAGGAAGCACUGUCUUGUCACUCAGGUGAAAGUUUUCUGCAGCAUGUUGGAGACUGUCAACAAAUGUGACUGAGCAGAAGAGCAUCUUCUGGAAAUCAGAGACGUCACAAAGUGCUCAAAUUUCCAGCAAUGGCAUCUUUCUUUUCUAAUGAGGAGGAGCCAAUGUAAAUGCCCCUGAGGAAAGCCUUAAGGCAGUUUAGCCAACAUAGCAGGGUACAAUAUUAAAGACUGAGAUUUGGCCACUUCUGCAGAAUUAGAGACCCAAUUCAUUUAAAAAAUGAGAUCCAGUGCAAGAGCAUUAACUUUUCCAGACCUGCUUCCUUCCUGACCUCACUGCUUAUUCGACUGUAAAACAACUGAUGCUGCAGUUUUCAAAGAGAUCUGCUCCUGACCUUUUUUUUAUCUCUGCAUCUCACCCUGAAGCUAACAUAAAGUGCAACAGAAGCCAGAUCUACCUGAGCAAGCCCACACAGAAGUCAGAGGGCUUCCUUGGAGAGUUGGCUGCUGGCUCACAAGGACUUCCCUCAGGAAAGGAAAAUAAGAAGGUUGUGUUUGUUUCGCACUUUCUCGAGAACCAGAAGACUGACCAUAAGGAAACAAAAGUCUUAUCUGAGCAUGGAGAAGGAAGUAAGGGGAAAUAAGAAUUACAAUGAAAAAGGCUCAAAACCUCACAAUUUCUAUGUGUGGCCUGAAAAAUAAGGUGCUGAAGUAGAAGUCAGAGCUUCAAAAGCUGGAAGUCUGUGUAAGACCAACCUUCCCUAUGUAAAAUGGGGAUAACAAGUAGCACAAACACCUAGAGAAUUUUUAAGAAUAGCAACUUAAUAACCACAUGGUACUUGACAUCCAGGGAGAGCUUCAGGAAUGCUAAAUAUUCUUAAAAUCUUGACAUUCCACAAUGAUUUUGGUUUGAUGUCUGCAAAGGGGUGUUUUCUGUUUCAGGGACCAGCUGCACUCUCACUUCUUAAGUGAAGGUUCUUCCCUGAAAUAGAAAGAGAUCCAGGUUGAUGGGAUGCAACAGUGCCAUUGCUGCUCUGUUCACUCUUAAUUACUGGUGUGGUGACAAGAGCAGUAUGAAUCAAGUCAGUCCAGCCAGGAGAUCUUACCACAGGCUGGUUAACCUCUACAUUAAUAUGAACAUCUGACACUACAUUUUCUAGAAGGCAUUAAAACAAGGGUAAAACCUUGGGGGAGGCCACUAGCUUGUAUGUAUGGGUCAAGGUGGGGGGAACAGAGGCCCUGAGCAGGAAGCUCCAUGGCUUGAACUGGUUCAACCCUCCCUUUUGCCUGUGAUGUGGAGCCCACUCAGACUUGGAGCCCAGUGUGAAGGAGGGCAAUGAACUCAGGUGGGGUUUGCUGCAUAGUGGUUGCAUAUGUGCCUCUAGGCAGGUCCAAAGCACAAAAAAAAAAAAAAAUACACUGCUCUUGGUAAUCAGAGUGGAAUGAUGUAUUUGCUUUCUUUCCAUUUUAAAACAGAAAUCCAGCCUGAGUAUUUUAAAUAGCUGCAUUUCUCUAGGAAAGGCAUUUGUUUACUUAAGUGCCUGUAAAAUUUGUCAGAACAAGAGUAUGGGAAAUAGAAAGACUCAUGUUACUCACAGAACAAGUAUAACAAGUUCUGCAAGUUCUCUUCCAAUGUUUCACCAAUUCACUCUGCUCAAAACUGGCAGAUUAGACUUCAUCCUAAACACAGUGGAGAGAUUUUCUUUAGUUUACGAAUUAGAUGCUUCAGCGUCUUUAUAAAUCUGGGCCUAACACAUAUAACUACCUCCCACCCAAAUAGCAAUGGCAUUGCUAACAGGCUCCAGUUUUGCUGGAGACAGGGCCAGGAUAUUGAGAAACUUUCUCUGCUGACACUUGGCCCA